rnacentral:ncRNA from 2 species
AAAUUAAGAGCUGUUAAAGGUGCCCAUUGUUCGGGGUAAAAGGAAAGAUGGUGAAAUUCCAUCGCUUCCCAGACACAGCUGUAAGCGCGCACUGUCUAUAAACGACAGUAAAAAUUCCGGCAUAAAAGUCACUGUGAAUUUUCACGGGAAGACAGUCCGGUAGCCGCAAGCCAGAAAGCCUGCCUUUAAUUAUCCGCUUUG